rnacentral:rRNA from 1 species
CACGUAGGCGGAUAUUUAAGUCAGGGGUGAAAUCCCAGAGCUCAACUCUGGAACUGCCUUUGAUACUGGGUAUCUUGAGUAUGGAAGAGGUAAGUGGAAUUCCGAGUGUAGAGGUGAAAUUCGUAGAUAUUCGGAGGAACACCAGCGGCGAAGGCGGCUUACUGGUCCAUUACUGACGCUGAGGUGCGAAAGCGUGGGGAGCAAACA